UCUCUCCAUAUACCUACACAUAUAUUCUCUCUCUCUCUCUGUCUCUCUCUCUCUCUUUCUCUCUCUCUGUGUGUGUGUGUGUGUGUGUGUGUAUAUAUGUGUGUGUGUGUAUAAAGUAUAUGUAUAUAUUCAAUGGAAAGGGAUUAAAUAUACUCAUGUGCUGGGAUACACAUAUCUGUGUACAUACAUACGUGUGUGUAUAUACAUGUGUGUGUGUAUGUGUGUAUAUAUAUAUAUAGAUAGAUAGAGAGAGAGAAUGUGUGUGUGUUCUGUUUAUAGGUGCUAAGAAGUCCCCCAACCUACAGUCAGCUUGCUUUUUGAAGGCUGGAGUCCCAGGAAAGUCAGUGGUAUAUAAUUCAGCCUGGGUCUGAAGGCCUGAGAACCAGGGGAAAUGGCAGUGUAAAUUCCAGCAUGAUUGCUGGAGAAAUGAGAUGACAUGACGGCUCAAGCCAUGAAGAAGAAGAAAAAGGGGGUCAGAUUCCUCUUUCCCCUACUUUUUUGUUUACCCCAUUCUCGGGAGGGCCAUCUGCUUUUCUGAGCCCAAAUCCUGAUUCCAAUGCUAAUUUCAUGCAAGGAUGCCCUCACAGACACUCCCAGAAACAGUGUUGAAUCGGGACACCCUGUGGCUAGUCAGGUUAUCACAUAAAAUUAAGCAUCACGAAUAUCGACACCAACGCUACUACUACUUACAGUGACAACCACUGCUACCAAUGUCCGUUGAGCACUUAUGUGCUGGGCUAAGUGCAUUAUAUGAAGUGGCCCUAUUACUGUCCCCCCUCACUGAUUAAAAAAAAAAAACCAAAAAACCUGAAACCCUAAAAGGUUACGUAAUUUUCCUGACCUCAAAGGGCAGUCAGCAUUCCAAAGAGUGCAGAAAGGAGUAAGGGAAGAAGGGCUUUCUUGACUGGGUCCAUGCUCAUCUAAAGAGGGAGGAGAGCAGUGGGGAGUCCUCAGUAAAUCAGGAAGAAACUGACGUUUCAAGGAAUAGAAAAUGUGACUCACACUGGCUUACUGGCACACCAGCUAGGAAGUCCCAAAGCGCUGUAGGUUUCAAGUUUGUUUCGUUUAGGGACUCACAAUAGAUCUGUGGCUUCAACUCUAAUCUACUUCCCCCUACCCCUCUCCCCGGUGCCUUGCCCCCAGCUCUCUCCAUUCUACACUGCUUUCUGGUUUCCUUUGCUCUCAGGCUGACUUCUUAUAUUGGUGAUCUAGAUGCUGACAGCUCCUGGGGCCCCUGGCUUCCCCAUCCCCUGAAUCAGAGUCUUGAAGCUCUUUCUUUUUUGACAACUUGAGACCUGUGCCCCCGGGAGAGCACCAUGUGCUGGCCUCUCAGGAAGGGUACCUUUCUGACCCACGGACAAAGGAGUGAGAAAUGGAGGCAAUUGCAUUUGAGUUUGUAGCCCCUGGAUUUUGUGAUUUUCAUGAUUUCUUUCAGCUCCCGUGUUAUAAAUAUCUACCCCACAAGAAGAGAGUGAAUCCACGCCAGAUACACCUGCUCCCUAGCCAUUCUGUCAUCUCUCCAGCUGUAAUUCUUAGGAAGUGAUAUAAUCCAUCCACCCCCCUCUGGAGGCAGGUGGGAAGAGGAGAGACAACUGGCAAGGGGGAGGCAAUGGGCUGAAGGCCUUGAGUUGCUCUGUCUGCAGUCACUCACCCAGUCUUUGGAAGGUGCUCAGGUGGAAAUACACUGAGGUUUUAUCCUGCUCAAUUUGUUAGGGAUGUGGGAAAGAGUGGCCAGGAAAGAUAGAGCUUAUGGGCUAUACCCAGAGCCACUGGCAAGCAGUAAGGGGCUCAGCAUGAAUGAUUUGAUAGAGCACCACACCAUACCAGGAAAAAACAUCAUGUCCCAGCCACCUGCUCGCUCUGGCUACUGGACCAGCCUCAGAUCGCAGGGAAAACGAGCCCAGGAGUAGACCUCUGUUCCAGCAAGAAAAAAAUGCAAGAAGCUAGAGUAGGACAUGGUCUCAGGCUGCCAUCUUUGAAAGGCUGGGGUCUCUUUACGUACUCACUGUUCCGUCCGUCUUUCUGCUUCCUGCAGACCUCUUGGGUUUGACCUCAUUGCCUGGCUUUGACCAGGUGCUAACCUACAUUACCUUUCCCCUUUGGUCCAUUUGAUUCUGUUCCUUUGGGACCGGACCAUCUUUGAUUUCUGAAUCCCAGCCCUCAACUGUUUUCAUUACUGACGGCCACUCACAGAGUCAUAAUUGCAGCAGGCGCCAUGUACUGAGUGCCUGUUCUGGGCCUUGGGCUUUACUGGCGUUAUUGUAAAAACACUGCAAGUUUUGUUAUUUUCAUUUUGCCUAUGAGAAAAUGGAGGCACAGAAUAGUUAAGUCACUUCCCCAGGAUUUCUCAGUUUGCUAAGUAGUAAUGUUAGGGUUCAAACUCAUCUCUGAUACCAGCGUCUUUGAGCUUUCCACAACGCUCGACUACGUCCUUUAUUAAAGCAGAGCACGUGGUAGCAGAGAACCAGACUGAAAGAUUAUCUUCAGGUGGCAAGCGGUAGCUGCACCAGGGCCCCCAACUCUGUUCUCCGGGGUUUUACUUCCCUUGUGGGUCUCUUUCCAGCUUGUUCCUGCUAUGACACGAAGCCAAACCUCCGAAAACCACAGCUACCUUUUUAAUAGUUGGCUCUGAGCUUGACAAAAUUUUCUUCUACGUCGUUCACACAACUGAGACAGGCUGAUACGUUCGGAAAGAUUUUUACUAAACAGUAAGGGAAACAGAAAGGAAAUAAUUGCUGCACAUAUAGGUGGUAUAAAAAUAGCCAACUUUCCAAAUACACAUUUCUGGCUCUAGGAAUCAGUCAAAACAGCAUAAAGCUUUUCUGUUGCCCAAACCUGAUGCUAAGGACGUCCCCUGACCAAAACACUGCUACAAGAUUCGUUUUAAUGGAGCUCAGCCAUAUGGACACUUCUGGUGUGGGCUGGGAGUCCAGAAUCUGACCCAGGGAGGGUGCAUGAACAGAGGGAGGGGCAGGGCUGUAGGACCUGUGUCUCUUGGCACAGCCUCACUUUGCUGUGACCUUCAUGACCACCUUCAUGCUGAUGCUGCUCAAAUAUUGUUCUCUAUUCCAGUCUUCCCUCCUGAAACCUACUGGGUAUCUCCACUGGAGAAGUUUCCUCAAUAACUGAGUGCCUCUAUAUUCGAGUCCAUCAUCCGUCUUCCCUCCAGACUCCUUCCUACCCCUCCAGUAAACAGCCUCACCCUCCACCCAGUUACACAAGACCAAUACUGGGGGAAAGCCAUUCCUGACGCUUCCCCUAAGUUCAAUUAGCCUUUCAAUUCUAGCAGUUCUCCCCUCCCCUCCCCCAGUUCUCUCCUUUUCUCCCCAUCUCCUCCACUUCUACCCGUAUUCAGGUCACCUUUACCUGUUAUCUGGGCUAUUGUCUUAGCCUCCUAAUUUGACUGCCUUCAGCUUUACCUCCUUUAACCUAUUCUCCAUGCCAGAGGUAAAGCCUUUAAAACACAAGUCAGAUGUCAUAGAGUUCUUUCUGCUUAAAGUCCUCUGGAAAUUCUCUAUUUCUCUUAGAAGAAAACACCAAACACAGGGCGCGGUGGCUCAAGCCUGUAAUCCCAGCACUUUGGGAGGCCGAGGCAGGUGGAUCACGAGGUCAAGAGAUCGAGACCAUCCUGGUCAACAUGGUGAAACCCCGUCUCUACUAAAAAUACAAAAAAUUAGCUGGGCGUGGUGGCACGUGCCUGUAGUCCCAGCUACUCAGGAGGCUGAGGCAGGAGAAUUGCCUGAACCCAGGAGGUGGAGGUUGCGGUAAGCCGAGAUCGCGCCAUUGCACUCCAGUCUGGGUAACAAGAGCAAAACUCCGUCUCAAAAAAAAAAAAAAAAAAAAAGAAAACACCAAACAUAGACUAACUAUGCUCGUUUCUCUAGGCUUGUGUCUCAGGACCCCUGUUCUUCUAUAUCAGUCUGUUCUCACACUGCUAAUAAAGGCAUACCCAACAUUGGGUAAUUUAUAAAGGAAAGAGAUUUAAUCGACUCCCAGUUCCACAGGGCUGGCUGGGAAGGCCUCAGGAAACUUUCAGUCAUGGCCGAAAGGGAAGUAAACACACCCUUCUUCACAUGGCAGCAGCAAGAAAUGCCCAGCAGAAAGGGGAAAAGCCCCUUGUAUAACGGUCAGAUAUCAUGUGAAUUCACUAUCAGAAGAGCAGCAUAGAGGUAACUGCCCCCAUGAUGCCAUCACCUCCCACCAAGUCCUUCCCACGACCCAUGGGGAUUAUGGGAAAAACAAUUCAAGAUGAGAUUUAGGUGGGGACACAGCCAAACCAUAUCACCUUCCUGUACUUGGAAGCUUGCACUUGUGCCUGCUCUUGUCAUUCUAAAUAAUGUUCAUCUCCUCUCCUGUGCUGCUCUGAUAUCCGGGCCUCUGACCAUGCUCUUCCCUUUAAAUGAAAUAUGCCUAUGCCAAGCCAUCUUGGCUGUUUUCUCCAAUGUAACUUGCUCCAAAAUGUUUUCUAUAUUCUGUAAAAUUAGGGUUAAGUGUGUCUUCUAUGGGUUCUAACUUACUACUUGUAACACUGUUUAGUUGUAUAGAUUUCUGUCCAACAGCAGGGACUCAUCAGGAAAGUAACCAUAUCAACUGAUUCACUAUCAGAUCACUAUUUGUCAUCGCAGUGACUGAAUUAGAGUAAGCACUUAAUAUCUGAUAAAUGGAUGAAUAGAUAAUAUGUGCAUAACAAUGGGGAAAGCACAGCCUUGGAGGAGAAUGAUUUAAUCAAUAUUGGCAUAUAAAACAAAAUAGCGAUGCAUCUGACAAACAUUUCCGGAAUGUCUCCUCUGUAUCAGGCUGUGUACCGGGCAAUCUGGACCUGGGAGACAAGAGCCAGGACCUCCGUAAUCAGCAGGACCCCGUCCCUGUCCAACAGGAGUCCCCCUGUUGCAUUCUUACUACCUUGAAUCCUACCUUUUAACUAGCCUAACUAUGCACUGUGAAUGAAAGAGUUCCAGGGCCUUGACUGAUUCAGUUAACAGCAGCAGAGAAAAAAGUAGUCCUUUUUUUUCCUCUUCUCUCCUUUUUUUCCCACUAUUUUCUUUGGUCUCUUUAUACCUCUUUAAAUAAACUCAUGCUGUUUCUGUGUUUCCCCCCACAUUCAUUUUUCUUUAAUUCAUUUGGAUGCCCCCAGAACCCACUUUUACUGUGUUUUAUUGAAGGAUGCAUUGGUGGGACCAGUGAUAAUGUAUUUGCAAAGGGGGCAUGUUAGUCUCGUAAUCAAUUACCCAGGAUCCUCUCUCACUGACAUACCCCACGUGGAGCAUCCAGCAGAGGAGGCGCUGAGCCAGCCAAGACACUAAAGAGCUGGGAAGGAAUUAGUGUUAAUUCCUACCAGAUACCUCCCUGUGAUGUUUCUCAGUCAAUAAGAGAUUAGAUAGGCGAGAAGGUUUAAACAUAGCCAUGCCUCUUCUCAUCACCUGCUAAUCCAUUCCUCUCCAUUCCCACACUAGGCCCUGGGGCAGAGGCCCUAGAAAUGUAUCCACUGAUGCACACAGAGCCCUCCAAAGGCCUUCUUUCCUUCUCCUGGACUUCUCAGAAAAGCCCUGAGUAGCAAAGUCUUCUGGUGUUGUUUCCUGGCAAAUGGAUCCCUGGGAAAUGUGGAAAGAUCAGAAGCUGAUGUGUGGCCUGUUGUGGGGGUGGGAGUGCAAGGUGAGAAAAGAGUGGGUGUGUAGAUAGAAGGCAAGAAAGCCAGGGGAGGGUUCUUACCAGCUUCUUACCACUACUCUGGUCUGCAGCCUCGGUGAUUGUGGCAGAUAGACCCUAUGAUUCCUGCCUCUGGGGCUUUGGAGUUUCGUGCCUUUCUAGGAUUCCCUCUCCUUCACUAUGAAUGGGGCUUGUUACUUGCUUCUACCUAAUAAGCUUAUUAAAGGUGAAUGGACAUCACUCCGGUGAUGCCUUAUGUUGCAUAAGGCGUGUUCUGCUAUUCUGCUGUACUCACUCGAGACUCUCAUUCUCAACCUUCCCUGCUGUUCUCUCUCUCUCUGGCUGACUUUAAAGAAGCAAGUUCGCAAAUCCUGCAACUGCAAGGAACUGAGUGCUAUCCGAUAACCCCAUGAAGUUGAAAGGAGACCUCAUACAAGAACAUAGCUCUGACCGACAACUUGAUAGCCACCUUGUGAGACUAUGAGCAGAGGACCCUGACCCAUACCUACACUCCUAAUGCACAGAAACCAUGGGAUAAUAAGUGUGUUGUCCUAAGCCACUAAGUAUGUCAUAAUUGUUCUGUAGUGAUAGAAACCAAACAGCGAUUAAAAAAAAACAAAACUAUUACAGUGACCCCUUUCCUUCCUGCUUUGAGCACCAGGGUCUUCUAUCUCCUUCCAUUAUUAAGAUGGUCUCCGCAGCAGAAGACACUGAGCCUGUUGACAUUGACAUGUGCUUGACUGCCUGCAGUUCAGGUUGCUCCCCGCCACCCCGUGGAGCCUUCACAGCUACAGCUCCUCGAAAGAACAAUCAUGAGUCUCUUCCUACUAUUCAUUUUAGAUAGCUUGCCAUUUCUUGAAUUCUAUUCCUCUUUUUGGGGAAUGGAUUGUGGUAGCACUUCUAAUUUUUCUUUCUUUCUUUUUUUUUUUUUUUCUUUUAAACUAUUCUUUGUUUGACUGGCUUUCAAGACCUGCUGUUUAGGCUCCGUUAGGGGAAGAAUUACUUUGAUGGUCAACUUCAAAACCCCUUUAUCAAAGAACAUUCCAUCUGGGGCAGAGUGGCUUGCUCCAAGCUAGAGGCUCUCAACUCCACCCCAUGCAUUCCCAGUUAAAAGGCAGCACCAGGGCCGCAGAGCCCCCGGUACAUCCAAGCAGUGUUCUAGGAGGAGUUCGGAUGAGCAUUGGUUGGGUGUCUGAGUGGAAACAGCUUUUACUAUUUUCACUUAAUUCAUAGCAGCAUGAGCUUCAGACAGAUAGAAUCAGAACUAAAUCUGACUGUCUUUGAGCUAUUCGCAGGCCGUGAGCAAGUUAUUUAACCUCUAGCCCAUUUUCCUUUUUAUUUUUAUUUAUUUUUUUUUGAGACGGAGUUUCGCUCUUGUUACCCAGGCUGGAGUGCAAUGGCACGAUCUCGGCUCACCGCAACCUCCGCCUCUUGGGUUCAGGCAAUUCUCCUGCCUCAGCCUCCUGAGUAGCUGGGAUUACAGGCACACGCCACCAUGCCCAGCUAAUUUUUUGUAUCUUUAGUAGAGAUGGGGUUUCACCAUGUUGACCAGGAUAGUCUCGAUCUCUUGACCUCGUGAUCCACCCGCCUCGGCCUCCCAAAGUGCUGGGAUUACAGGCUUGAGCCACCGCGCCCGGCCCCAUUUCCCUUUUUAACAUAGGAUUCUUGUGAAGGUUGAAUUAGGUAAGGUAGUAAAAUUUCUGAGAACAGUGUCUAGCCCCUAGCUGGCUUCCAGUGAAUGUUCAUUUUUCCUCCGUUGUGUGCACAGAGGCGGGAUGUGAGUUAGAGGAAGGCCAACAUGAAAUUUCUGAGGGAUGAAGUGCUAAACCUCACGGCAAUGUGGCUUCCUCCUCCUUCAUGCUAUUUCCCCCUGGUUUCCUCUCCUUUUUUCUUUUCUUUCUUUCUUUUUUUUUUUUGAGACGGAGUUUCGCUGUUGUUACCCAGGCUGGAGUGCAAUGGCGCGAUCCCGGCUCACCACAACCUCCGCCUCCUGGGUUCAGGCAAUUCCCCUGCCUCAGCCUCCCGAGUAGCUGGGAUUACAGGCACAUGCCACCAUGCCCAGCUAAUUUUUGUAUUUUUAGUAGAGGUUUCACCAUGUUGACCAGAAUGGUCUCGAUCUCCUUACCUCGUGAUCCACCCACCUCGGCCUCCCAAAGUGCUGGGAUUACAGGCGUGAGCCACGCGCCCGGCCCCUCCUCUCCUUUUUUCUUUCUUUCUCUGAAAUACAUGCAAAGUGCUUAGGGAACAGUGCCGGGUCUCAAAUGCUAUUUGCUGACAUUGUUCUUGUUUUUACUUUUAUUGUAGUAGUCAACAUCAUUGUCAUUGCCAUCAUCAGUAUGAUCAUCCCCUCCCUGGCAGCUAUUCUCCUUUCUGCAGUAGAAGUGAUCUUCCUGUGCCUUUUCCUGUAAUGUCAAAAGUGGGAGCCGGUGUGAAUUACACUUUGUGAACUCUCCUACCAUCUGGCUUCUUGUUUGCUUUUGCCAACAGGGAGACACUGUCAGGGGGAGGAAAGUCUUGAAUUUGCACCGUUUUCCCGCUUUUGGCAGUGUCUUCAGAAAGGGCUGUAUCCCUUUACAUAAUCUAAGCUUUAGCCACAGCAGCUCUCUCUUUGGUGACCAUCGCCUCAUCAGGGAGGCCCUUCUUUGGUGCUUCCAGUAGCAAGCACCCUCCUGCACCGCUCUAGCACUGACUAGGGCCAUCUCUCCUGGGCAGUUCCAGGCCUGACUGUUUGGCAUCCCAGCCAUGCUGUAGCAGGUAAACUCUUGUGCUCUAAUGCUCUCUCUCAUCCCAUGUUCCUCCAGCCCUGGGGUGGUCGCUACUUCCUGCAAUGAAUCAUCUCUGUGUUACCACGUUAUCACACCUUCUUGUAUUCAGACUCUGGCAACAAGUUGAAAACUAGUUCUUUGAACUAUCUCCUUUCUUUUUGAAAUACCUUGUGUGGUUCCUGACUUCCUAUAUGGCUCCUAAAGGCAGUGACUUGUAUCAGUUAUGCCCAUGGGGAGAGAGAUUACAAAUCAUUUUGAAUUGGAGCCUUUAGGGUAAACUAUUUUCCAAUGGCUUUCCAAGUUAGAACAUCAGCAAUGAAAAUGCAAACCACUUUCAAAGUCACUUUCUCAAGUCUACAGAAGAAAGCAGAGUAUAUAUCUCUCCCUUUUCCUUCUCUCGAAAUUACUGUUGGAUGUACACUGAGAUUCCUGUAGCUGGUUGCCUAAUCUGCUUAUCUCAGUGUUGGUCUUUAGAUGUUGAGUCAUUUAAUUCAUUUCUUGAACUUUACGUGAUACUUUUCCUUCUCUUUCCCUACCUCAACAUCUAUCUCAUUCUGUUCCACUGUUAUCAAAAUAAACUUGAAGGAAGGGUCUUCAGUAUCCAAUAAACUAUAAUGAUUUCUGAAAAGGUAAUUUUUACUGAAUUGUCUACUCCAUGAUUGAAGUUACAUUUUUCCAAUGAGAAAACUUUACUAUGGAAAAAUGUUAUCAUCUGCCCAUUAUUACUGAGGUAGUAACAGAACUAAAAUUCUAAACCAAUUCUGUCUGAAUCCAAAACUAAUAAAUUAAAUUAUUAUUCUACCAUCCAUCCACUUACCCAUCCGUCCAUCUAUCCAUUGGUUAAAGAGAGUUCUGUACAUGCCAAGCACUGUGACACCCACAGUAAUUGAGAAUCAGAAGGCCUAACCUAUCUUCCCUGAAAUAUCACAGAGAUAGUUACAUUCAGAGCCUGGAAGAAUGGGGACCUAUACUGUGAUGGGGUGAUGAGUAAGUGGUGGUGGAGGGCUGAGAAGACAGUAAAUAGAGAAGGCGGCCAUAGGUGUUGCUGGUUCCCUCUUUCUGUUCUCCAGAGACCGUUAUCAGCAGCCUCCCUGGGUCUCGUAGGAGACUGGAACCGAGAACAUGCUCUAUUCUCAGCCUCUUCUGUUACUUUAACAACAGUAAAAUACAUUAACAGGAAUGAAUGGACUGUAAUUGGAAGCAAAAAGACUCUAAGAGGCUGCGGAUGAGGGGUAAGUUAUUCCAGCUCCCUUCAAAACUAAUGUUUUUUGCCAAACUCAGUGGCUCAUGUCUAUAAUUUUAGUACUUUGGGAGGCUGAGGCAAGUGGAUCACUUGAGUCCAAGGCUUCGAGACCAACCUGGGCAACAUAGUGAGACUUUGUCUCUACAAAACAUAAAAAACAAACUUUAAUCUGGGCAUGUUGGUGCAUGCCUGUGGUCUUAGCUGCAAUGGAGGAUGAGGCAGGAGGAUCACUUGAGCCCAGGAGAUCAAGGCUAUAGUGAGCAGUGAUUGUGCCAUUGUGCUUUAGCAUGGGAGACAGAGCAAGCCCCUGUCUCCAAACAAACAAAAUACCUCCCCGAAACUACUGUCUCUAGAUGACUGAUUUUCUCUUUGCCCCCAGUCCUCCAUCUCAAGUGGUGUCUCCUUCUCUGUUUGGUUGAUCUUUACCACCUUUGAAUGUGGACGAGGUUUCUGGUCUACAUCAGGCUCUCGGGAUUGAUCUUUUGAAUAUAUCUGUCUUAUUCUCUCUCCGCUUUUCCUUUUCCUUGCUCUCUUUUUUCCUUGUUUCUCUCAUGGUUUCUCUGUCUGUUUUUGUAGGACGAUAGUAGCUUAAAAUAAUAGAAAGUCUAACUUGAACUGGUAAAAACAAUAAGAAAAUCCAUCUCAGGAAAAGUUCACAUAUAGGAAGCUUCCAGGGUUAGUUAAUUCAGUAAGUCAACCAUAUGAUCUGGCAUCCAGGCUCUUUCCAUAUUUCUGCUCUUCUAUUUUCAGAAGUUUUGAUUGAUGUUUGGACUGAUUACAAAUAGCCACUCAGGAGAAAAACAGGGCUAGAGACUGUGCUGCCUUUUUCUUUUCCAUGUCCUGCCCUGCCUCUGCCCCUGCCUGCCUCCUCUUCCUCCUUUUCCUCCUUCUGUCUUAGAAAACAAAGUUUUAUUCAGAAGCACCACAAUAUUAGCUUCCUCUCAUGUACCAUUGGCUAGAAAGACAGAGCUAAUGUUCAUAUCCUAGUGCGUCUCUGUCAGUGGCAAUUAUCACAAUUUGCCUGUGCCGUGUGGUGUAAAGGAUGAGGUGGUGUCAGCUAUUGAGAACUGUGAAGUAUCUGAGAUUUCACCUUAUUGCUGUAGUUUCCCAGAUUCUGGCAGAUGACAUGAGCCUCCUGAAUCAGAGACAAAGCAAUCUCAUUGCUCCCAGUGUAGUGGGCAGCCUGAGCUGCAGGUCUGCGGUAGCUGCCCCUGCCUCCACGGUUGCACAGGGGCAGCAUGGAGGAGUCAGUGAAAAUGUACAUCAUGGUUUAGGAACUUCAAACUUGGGGAAUUCAAAUCUUUGUUAACAUCUGCAAGAAAAUCUUCUGUGAGACAAUGCAAAACAGUCAAAAUUAUAUAGAACAUCAGAAGGAGAGAAACAAGGAAAACAUGAAGGAGUAAUGGUUAAAAUUUUUUCACAUUUGAUGAGAAUGAUAGCGAAUCAAAAAAUGGAAUGAAUCCUGAGUAGUGAGUAGAGAGAUUUGAUGAAAAUCAUAUAAAUAGACAUGAGAGUUAAAUAUCUGAAAACCUUUAUCUAACGAUAAAGACAAAAGCAGCUGGGAAGGGGACACAUUGCAUAAGAGAGAACAAAUUUAACAAUCCCAGCAGACUUCUUCUCAAAAGGUAUGUGGACCAGAAGACAUUGAGGUGAUAAACUUAAAGAAUUGAGCAAAAGGGCCGGGUGCGGUGGCUCAUGCCUGUAAACCCAGCACUUUGGGAGGCCGAGGCGGGUGGAUCACGAGGUCAAGAGAUCGAGACCAUCCUGGUCAACAUGGUGAAACCCCGUCUCUACUAAAAAUGCAAAAAACUAGCUGGGCAUGGUGGCGUGUGCCUGUAAUCCCAGCUACUCAGGAGGCUGAGGCAGGAGAAUUGCCUGAACCCAGGAGGCGGAGGUUGCAGUGAGCCGAGAUUGCGCCGAGCCGAGAUUGCGCCAUUGCACUCCAGGGUGGGUAACAAGAGUGAAACUCCGUCUCAAAAAAAAAAAAAAAGAAUUGAGCAGGAAAUAGGGUUUCUAUAGUGAAAAUAUUUUUCAAAAAUUAAGACUAAAAGAACACUUUUGGAAAAGUACAAACUGGGACAAUUACAAAUCUUGCAUUACAAGAAACUUGCUCUUUAGGCAAAAGAAAAAUGAUCUCAGAUAGGAUCUGCAAUCUAUAAAAAGGAAUAAAUAACACCAGAAGGGGUAAAUACUGGAAUAAGUGUGAAAUCCUUUUUUCCUCAUUUCUAAUCACUUCAAAAGUUAAUUGACUGUUUACAGCAAAGCUAUUUACAACAUAUUGUGAGGUUUAUUACAUUAGAAGAAAAUUAUAAAACAGUAACAGGACAAGGGAGGGAAAGAGAGAAAAGAAAUUGGAAUGAUAUAUGAUUCUUACACUAUUCAUGAAGUCAUAUAACGUUGCUUGAAGGAAGACUCUGAUUAAACUUGUAUAUUGUAAACUUGAGAGUCACAGCUCUCAAAAAACAAAAUCAAAAAACAAAAUAUACUGAUUAAGCCAAUACUGGAAAUAAAAUGAAAUACUAAAUGAUACUUAAUUAAUUCAAAAGAAGGUAGUAAAAGGGGAAAAAAUAAUAAACAGAAUAAAAACACAAAUAUUCAAUAUCGGGGUUCAAAUCCCAACCAUAUUGAUAUUAUGUCAAAAUGUUGUAACUCUCCAGAUACGGUCAGAUUGGAUGAAAAAGACCUGAAUCUCUUUUUUUAUAAUAAAUCCCUUAGAUACAAAGAUGCAGAUAAGUUAAAAGUAACAGGAUAAAAGAAUACGUACUAUAAAAACACUUAACGGGAUACCAGAGUGUUCUUUAUCCUUUAGUUAUAUCCAAUAUCUCGGUGAAUAUUUAAACCAAUUUAUAAUGAACCGGUCAUUUUAAAGGUGAAGAAACUUCAAAGUCAAUGCUCUUACCUACUAGAUAAGACUGCAGAUGGUUGGAAGGUAGAAAUAAUAUUUUACCUUCUAUUGCGUUUGUGUAACUACAGUAUGAGGUCUGACUCAUACAUGACUGAAAAUUACAUUUUAAGAGACUAAAGUGUGAUUGGAUGGGUGGAUGAAUAAAUGAAGGAACAGAUGCAGCUUACGAGGCAGUUAUGCCUCAUCAUCCCCUCUUGUAGUGUGUACACCGAAGAGACCUCAGUUAGAAAAUGAGAACAAACAUUUCCAUCAGCAGGUAACGAACGUCACAUCGGUGAUCAAGAUGGGAUCUGAGUGCUUUGGCGCAGGAAGCAGGGCUGAAGUUGGUUUCUAGAACCAGGCAGUGAGCUCGUCUGAGGCUCAGGGUUAGCGCUGGGCUAGAUAAUGCAUAAACCCUUAACAUAAAGCCUCUUCCUUUCAAGUCUUCCCCGUCGUUGGCUCCGAGUACUCACAGAAUUCUCCACCUCCUACAAUUCCCUGUAGGGUAUCCUGUCUAAAAGCAGUGUCUGGUCACUUGAGAAUGAUAUCUCAGUGAGUUAUUCCAUAUUUAAGUGCUGCCAAAGAAGUAUGUAAUUACAUGUGUCCUGCAAUCUUAGAGCAUAAGGACAACGUGCUUGAGUUAUUAGCAGGAUGAGCUCAUCAGAGUCAGUCACAGUAUAUUCAGUAAACCAGCAGCACUGCACUUACCACAGUGUAUUGCAUUUAUUUGUUUUAAAAUUUCAUUCUUAUGAUUCUUUGGAUGUAAGUUAUAAAUAUCCACUGGGGUCUGCUAAAGCCAAAAAAAAAAAAAAAAAGGAUUGGGGGAUUUUAUUAUAAAAAUAUAAGUGUCUCAUGCAAGCCACCCAAGAAGAAGAAAACAGCUGGGCCUUAGGAUAGAAUCGGAACCAGAAUCUGGAAGACAUCAGGACGAUCUCCCUAGCUCAUAUGUUAGUUUGAUUUGAAGAAUUUCUUCCUAUCCUACUGAGGGCUAUUUUUUUCUUGCUACUCGUUACACAUACGAAGCUAUUGAUGUCCUCCCAGUUGAAUCUUUGGUUAACAUUUUCUGCAUUAAUAGAUCAGGUGUAACCAGAAUAUCUUCAACCAAAUUUGAAAUCUCUGGAAGAAAUACUCAAAUUGACUAAUCUUGAUUCAAUGUGAAGUCCUUUAGCAGAAUCAAAAGUGUCACUCUCUCAGGUGACAGAAGUACUUAGGGCAUUUUUUUUUUUUUUUUUUUUGAGAUGGAGUCUGGAUCUGUUGCCCAGGCUGGAGUACAUUGGCACAAUCUCGGCUCACUGCAACCUCUGUCUCCCCGAUUCAAGCGAUUCUCCUGCCUUAGCUUCCCAAAUAGCUGGGACUACAGGCACGUGCCGCCAUACCCAGCUAAUAUUCUGUAGAGACAGAAUGACAUCGAGUUAGCGAGGAUGAUCUUGAUCUACUGACCUCAUGAUCCACUCACCUCAGCCUCCCACAGUGCUUGGAUUAGAGGCACAAGCCACCGCACCCAGCCAAGUGUGUCAUUUUUAAACUUGAAUAAAUAUUCUAAAAGGUAUAAGCUUCCCGAGAGUAGAAAUUCUCAUUCAUCUUCAUGUAUCUUGGCACGCUGCCUGGCACGCACUGAGUAGCUGAAGGGAUUUUAACUUACAUCUGUCUGAUUCCAAAGCCCUGAAGUACCUUCUGCUUGAUUUACUUUUUUUUUUAACAUCUGAUACAUAACUGGUUUAUUCCCCUCUGUACCAGUCAAUGUAGGGUAAGAUACGCUGCACUAACAAUUGAAUCCCCAAUUGUCAUGGCUCAGAACAGCGAUUCUUAGAGCAGCAAAAGUGUCACCUGGGCACUUGUCAGAAAUGCAGGGUCUUGGUCACUACCCCGAACCUAUUAAUGAGAAACUCUAAGGAUGGGGCCCAUCAAUCUCUGCUUUACCAAGCCCUCUGGGCAUUUGUGAUACAGACUAAUUUCAUCGCCUAGGAUGAUAAAAGUGUAUUUCUCAUUCACCUUUCAAGAGCAUUGUGGGUGGCUCUACAUUAUCCUGACUUGACCAGCAUAUGGACCAGCCCCUAAUCAGGAGGGAAAAUAAAGACAUGACAGACUCAGGGCUAGUUCUUAAAACCUGGCUCAGAAGUUACAUCGUCACUUCUGCACACAUUCCAUUGUCUUCAGCAAAUUGAAUGUGAAUGAGACAAACAAUUCUGUGACAGAGAGAACAUACGUUAAGAGGGAAACUGGAUUAUCGUAUUCAUUUUAUCUCUCCAUUUAUGAGUUGCAGAGAAAUGCUUGGACAAACAUUUUUAAGGGUCACGAAAUAAUCGUAAUUUUUUCCAUGGCUAAGAUUGCUUUGUUCAGCGUGUGUGGUCACUUUUGUAGCCCUGCAUUACUGUGCAUAAUGAGGACAGCCUGUAUUCAGAACAAGAAUAAAACCUACCGUAUACUUUUUCCUGUCUCUGUUCAAAUGUGUUUUCUUAGAAACGUUUUCCCAGAACUGCCUUACUGAGUAGAGUUCUGUCCUAAGGCCCCAUCACCCUCUCACGUGACUCAUUUUCCCCACAGCACUCACAUCUAGCAGAAGCUACUUUAUUAGUUUAAUUGCGCUGAAAUUUGCUACCAUAUGAGCUUCAUCAAAACAGAGACUUGUCUUGUCUUUUUCAUGGUUUUAUCCCCAGAGCUUGGAAGAGUGCCUCACACAGAAAUGUUCACUAAACAUUUUUGGAUAUGAAUUUGUUGAUAUCCCCUGAGAUGGAGCAACUGAAUGCUCCCUGCUAUUUAAAAUGGAGUUGGGGCCUGUCCUGACUCUGUGCCAGGAUCUGGGGAAGGCAGAUAAGGAGGCCUACAACCUGAUGCCCACACGCAGGGCCCAAUAUGGAUUCGUGACUGCUGGGUGAGGAAUUCAGCUUAUUUAGGGAAGCUGGAAGCUUUCGGCUCAUAGUUCCGCCCUAGCUUCUUCCUUCCCUACUUGAAGUACCCCCAGUGUUUUGAAGGAGGCUUCUCCUACUGCUUCUAAUGAGAGAGAUCAAUUAUCCUGAAGAAACGCCUUAUUCUCAUCUCUAGAAAGGAGAGCAUUUGGCAAGCUUUGACUCCUCAUUGCAGAGAAUACAACGUAGUUAAGAGAAACUAGAGGUUAAUUGGCCCCUUCUUUCCUCCAAAAAUUAAAAUAUGGUGGGAUAUUGUGGGCAUUGAAGAUUAAUUGCACUAUUACAAGUAUUAUUGCUCAUCUAUUUUACAACAUACUGUAUAUAUAUACACGUUUCUUAGUAAUUGAAACAAUCUCAUGAGAAAAAUAUAAAUAUAACCAUUUUCAGAAGAAACACUUAGGUUGAGAGAGUUUAAGUGAUUUAUCCAAAGCCAUCUAGCUAGAGUUACGAUUCAAACUAAAAUACCUAGACUCCAAUUCCAGGGAUUACAUAUUUUUAACUAUUUGAUACAGUCUUUCUUUCUCUCUCUCUCUCUUUCUUUCUUUCUUUCUUUCUCUCUCUUUCUUUCUCUCUCUUUCUUUCUUUCUCUUUCUUUCCUUUCUCUCUCUCUCUCUCUCUCUCUCUCUCUCUCUCUCUCUCUCUCUCUCUUUCGACAGUCUCCUUCUGUUGCCAGGCUGGAGUGCAAUGGCGUGAUGUUGGCUAACUGCAACCCCUGCCUCCUGGGUUCAAGCCGUUCUCCUGCCUCAGCCUCCCAAUAGCUGGGCCUACAGGUGUGGGCCACCAAACCAAGCUAAUUUUUGUAUUUUUAGUAGAGACAGGGUUCCCCCAUGUUGGCCAGGAUGGUCUUGAUCUCUUGACCUCAUGAUCUGCCUGCCUCGGCCUCCCAAAGUGCUGGGAUUACAGGUGUGAGACACCAUGCCCAGACAGAUUUUUCAAGAAAGACAAACGGCUAUAUUUGGAGAGGGGGGGCAGUUUCUCCCUUGAAAGAAUGAGAAAGCCCUACAUGACCAAAUGCUAUGUCCGGUUAAUCACAACCAGAAUAAUUCUAAGAUUUAUACGUCGUAUCUCAGUCCUUUCUGCGAUGAAGUUACCUUAUUUUUCUGAGUAGCUAAUUACAUUCCCUUUUACACAUUCAGGAAACUGAAAUUCAGGCUCAAAGUAAUUGAGGUUCAACGCUUAGAAAGGUAGAGAUAGGGCCAAAGCAACGCAAGUUAGAAUUUCGGCUUCACCACUUCCGGGCUGUGUGGGUUUGGACAAUUUCCUUGGCUUUUCUUAGCGAAGUCUUCCUCCAUACUGCAUGCCCCUGAGGGCAUAGAUUUUAUACCUCACUGCUGAUCAAGCCUGAAAAUCCUGAGGUCUUUGUGACAGACCCUACUAAUUACCUAGAAGUCCUUCUCUCCUGUGCCCCAAUUCCUUCUCAACUAACAGAAUUCAAUGUUAUGCAGCUGCCAGGUAGGAAGCUCCACCACCAUCUUCUCAUUGAUGAGUCACGACUGGACUAAGCCAAAAGUGGAAAUUGAAUUCCUCUUCGAUGGAUAUUGCUUUGGGGGUAGUCAUAGAAUCAUUUUUUCUUUCUUUGAGACAGAGUUUCACUCUUGUUGCCCAGGCUAGAGUGCAAUGAUGCGACCUCAGCUCACUGCAACCUCCGCCUCCCGGGUUCAAGCAAUUCUCCUGCCUCAGCCUCCUGAGUAGCUGCUAUUACAGGCACCUGCCACCACACUCGGCUAAUUUUUUGUAUUUUUAGUAGAGAUGGGGUUUCACCAUGUUGGCCAGGCUGGUCUCGAACUCCUGAUCUCGGGUGAUCCACCUGCCUCGGCCUCCCAAAGUGCUGGGAUUACAGGUGUGAGCCACUAUGCCCAGCCCACACGAUCAAUUUCUGAACAUGUGAAAGAGGAAAGUUGCUGGAGACUACCCUGUUGAAAGACAACAAAUGGUGGAUAGGGAAUUAUUUCUGCUGCUGCUCUCCUUCUUGUUUGGGUUGUGGAAUUAAUAUAUUUGAAAAAUACUGAGUUCCCACUAUGUGACAGAAACUAAAAAAAAAAUCUCUAGAAAAAUAGUAAACAGAACAGACAAAAUCCCUACCCUAAUGGAACUUAUAAACUCUUUUCAAAAAUAACCUGUAGUGGUGAGAAACAAUACGAAGAGAAGUCAAGUAGGAUGGGAAGAUAGUGAUGGGGUGCUGUUUUGUACAGUGUGACCAGAGAAGACCUUUUAAUUAGGUUAACCUUGAGUUAAGACUGAAAAGUUGAGAGAGCAGAUAUCUGGUGUAAGAAAAUUCCAGGUGAGAGUAAUAAGGGCAAAGUCCUUCAGCCAGUAGAAUGACUGGCAUGUUGGAUAAAUUAAAAAGGUAGAUCUGGCCAGGCGCGGUGGCUCAAGCCUGUAAUCCCAGCACUUUGGGAGGCCGAGGCGGGUGGAUCACGAGGUCAAGAGAUCGAGACCAUCCUGGUCAACAUGGUAAAACCCCGUCUCUACUAAAAAUACAAAAAAUUAGCUGGGCACAGUGGCUCGUGCCUGUAAUCCCAGCUACUUAGGAGGCUGAGGCAGGAGAAUUGCCUGAACCCAGGAGGCGGAGGUUGCAGUGAGCAAGGGUAACAAGAGCGAAACUCCGUCUCAAAAAAAAAAAAAAAAAAAAAAAAAAAAAUGGUAGAUCUGAGUGACUGCAGCAGGGUGAGCUAGUGCCAAACUUUUGGACCAUGACCCACAGUGAAAAAUAAAUUUGAUAUUCUGACCCAGUACACAUGCACAUGCCUUCACGCACACUGAAUUCAGAGUUUAACAGAAGAACUCACCUUUACUAUGUGUAAUGCACUGUGAUGGUGUCUCUUAUAUUUUAUUCUAUUUGAUUAAAAUGUCCUGGUUAUGACUAUUAGAAUUGACUAUAUAACAUUCUAGUAGGUCAGAACCCACAGUUACGCUGAGCUUGGGUGAAAGUGAUAGGAAUUAAGAUCAAAGAGGUAAUGGGAGGCCAGAGAACAUGCUUUUUUUGGAUUCUGCAAGCAAGAUGAAUGAGUAGGGAGGCUAUGAGAACAUUUAGAGUUAAGGAGCAAUUUGCAUUUUUAAAAAAUGAUUCCGAUUGCUCUUUGGAUAAUGUAAUAUAGUAGAGCAGCAAAGGUGGAAAUACAGAGCAGAGUAAGAUGCUAUUUUUAUAGCUCACGUAAGAGAUGAUGGGAGCUUAGACCAUUAUCUUAGAGAAGUAGGAAGAGAGAUACUGAGAAGUGGCCUGAUUCUAUAUUUAUUCCAAAGAAAGUUCCAACAGGAUUUUCUGAUAGAUGUGCUGUAGGCUGAUACAGGUAGAGGAAAAGGAUGAUUCCAAUGUUUUAGACCUGAGCAACUGGAAGGAACAGGGCUGCCAUUUACUGAGAAGAGUCAAACUGAGGACAAAUUAGGUUUGGGAAAGGGAGUGACACUGAAAGUUCAGUUUGGGACUUGUGAACUUUGGAGACAUCUAAGUGUAGAUGUCAAAAAGUCAGUUUUAUAUUCAGGUUUGAAAUUUAGUGCUGGAGAAAUUGAAUCACAAGUUUAUAAAUGGUGUUUAAAACUCUCCUGGAUAAUAUUGCCUAGGGAUUGUGGAGCAAAUACAGUUAAAUGAUGCCUAAAUCCUGAGCUUUGAGGCACACAAAAUUGGGAGGUUGACAGGCAAGGAGAAACCAGCAGAGGAGACUGAGGUGGAGUGACCACAACAGUGAAAUGGGGACUAAGAGUAAGCGGAGUCCUGGAAGGAAAGUCAGAAGGUGUUUCUCAAGUGAUGGGCCAUCCUGUGUAUGAGGUGCUGUUGAUGGGUUAAGUAAGAGUAAGGGCUGAGAAUUGACUGUUGAAUUGGGCGAUGUGGAGGGCACUGGUGACUUUCAAAGGAGAGAUUCAGUAGGGUGGUGCAGGAAGUGGCCCAAUCGGACUGAGUUCCAGAAAGAAUGGCAGGAGAUGAAGAAGAGAUGAAGGGUAUGGGAAAUUAGUUGAAAGAGUCUUGCUGUAAAUGAGAGUAGGGAAAUGGGAUGGGAUCUGCUAAGUGAGAAUGUCAUACUUGCGGUGUGGCCGUGUCUUUUGACAAUGAUAGGCCAAGCAAACUUCAGAGACUUUGAACAGGGACCUUGUAUCUAUGGGUACUGACUUCAUUAAGUAGACAGUAACCAUUCUUACUCUUUAAGCUGUCAGUCAAGCAAUCUAUUAAUUGCAACCAAAUGCAUCCUAGGGGCGACUAACUGUACAUUUUCAUCAAACUUCAGAUUCCUGGCAACAGGGUCGUGAAGUGUGGGCCUUGGAGUGAGUUCCUGAGGGGCUGCUUACCAGCUGUGUGUUCCAGGGCUAUUUAACACACGGAAGCCUCAGUUUGAUCAUAUAAACAAUGGAUAUUACAGUUGUUCUGAAUCCAUAGAUGUUAUGCUCUGAAGAUGUCCUCUGGUAUUCAUGUGUUGGAAACUUAAUUCCCAAUGCAGCAGUGUUGAGCUGAGCCUUUUUGGGAGGUGUUUAGAUCAUGAGGGCUGAACCCUCAUGAAUAGACGAAUGCCACUAUAAAAAGGGAAGGAGUGGGUUCGCUCUCUCUUGCCCUUCCAGCUUUGGCAUGUGAGGAUAUACUUAGAAGGCCUACACCAGCUACCACUGGCUCGAUCUGGGAUUUCCCAGCCUCCAGAACACUGAGAGAAGACAUUUCUGUUCUUUAUAAAUUGCCAGUUCUCCACUGUUUUGUGAUAGCAGCACAAAACCGACUAAGACAAUAGGGUUAAUUAGUGGACGAAAUGAGAUAAUCCGUAGAUGCUCGUAACAUAGUGCUUUUGACAUCGUAAUUGUUUAGUAAAUAUAAGUAAUGAGCUUUACUUUCCAUACUCUGAUUUUGUAGCUUUGAACCUUCAUUCAACACCUCUGCUUUUAGAAGAAAUCUCUCCUAUACCUUAGUCCUUGAAAGCCUACAACAGCUCAACUACCCCAUCAUCCCCAGUAGAGCAGAAACCUCCAAAUAAAUGCAGCUUUGCAUAAAUCUCUUCAUUAGGGAUCGGGGCCCAAAAGAGGAACUGCUGAGCUCUGAGUCCCGGAAUUUUUUCCUGCUAGAACAAUAGGGCAGCCCAGUUCUUCUCACAGCUGUCUGUCUGCCUCCCCUGCCCUGCCCUCCUUUUGGUAGUUACUCACUUCAUCAUCAUGCCACGGUGGCGACCAGGAUACGUGAGUUCUCUGUGAGCCUUCGAAGUGUAUUUACUGCUGAGCCACGCUGCCUCAGAACAAUUAAAUCACAUGACAGUUGUCAAAAGCAUUGGCAGGUUUUUGGCUUGUGAUUGCCAGAUUCCGCUCCCUUUGGAGGCUGGCGCCUGGAAAAAAUAAUGACCUGCCUGGCUCCCUGCCUCAUAUUUCUCUGAUCUUCUGCUGCACAGGCCGUUUAGUCCCUAAAGCAGGCCUGGCUUGCCUCAGGCUCUAAACUAACCACUUCUUAAUUAGAAAGGAAAAAAAAAAAAAAAAAAAAAAACCUUGGAUAUGUAACCUGCCUGAGGAUCUCAUCAUGACCUGUCCUCCAGUCUCAUAGUGAGCCAAGCUCUUGUUUCUCCUGGUCCAGGAACUCUAGUUCUUAUUCCAGUUUGACUCUGUUGUCAUCCCAAUCCUGAAUCCCUUCUCAGCUUUUCCAUUCUUCCUUCUGCAGCAGAGACCACCUGGCCUUUAUAUUAGGCUGAGACUUCCCUCAUUUUGAUCUGAGCUAGGAAAGGCGCCAGAUCUAUUGAGUCUAGGCAUUGCUUUAGAGACUUUACAUAUUUUAUUCCUUUUAUUUACCAUGUCAAUUAUCUGAGGAGGGUCGAGGCAGAUAGGACCAGUGACUUUCCCAAGGCCACACAAUAGAAGAAGGAGGAUUUCUGUGGGCCCCAAUGUAGGUAUUGAGGGUAUAAGAUGCACCCGCAUAGUUCAACUCUCCCACCUUUGCUUUUCUUUUCCUCUUCACUCAGGAGAUCUACAUCCGAUAGGUAAAUUCUGGAAAUCUGAUUCUGCUUGGUAUACCAGGGGUCAGGAUGACUAUAUGUACAAGGGUAGCCCUAAGAUAAUGAGUUUCUCUUACCCCCUUUUCUUUUUGUCCUCCACCUCUCUUAUUCAAACUUAAAUGUUGUCAUCCUUUCAGUCAUGAGCAGAACAGCCAUCUGCUGGGCACUGGGGUUUUGGUCUAUGGAACUGGAGUGGAUCCCUGUUCCCGACGCUUCGAGUGAAUUCUGCUUUCUUUUCUGUUAAAUUUACCAGAGAGCUCUUCAUGUGGUUUUUGGGCUCAAGCUCAACUAAUAACAUUUUGCCGAGUUUUCCCAUUUGUCAUCGUCCCUUGCGAGUAUCUCUUUCUUGGGAAGAAGCCAACAUGGCUGAAUCUAAGCAUUCCUUGGGUUUCAAAGACCAAAAUCUUACAAUGAAUCUCUGAACAUCAUGUCUGUUAGGCUCCAACGCCAAUGCUCAGAAUGUACAAAACUAAGUCUAUCGCAAGGCAUUAAAUGCAGUAAUAAAGGCCUUUUCCACCGCCUGACAAAGCCCCAGUCCCCAGUUUUGAUGGAAUCUCCUAUGUGUGAUAUAAUGCCAAGCACUUGCUCAAACAUGCUUUAAUCUCUGAAAUGAAAUUCUAUCUGCAAACUUCCUCUAGAUAUUCUAAAAUGCUUCCAAUUUCUUGUGUUUGGCUGAAUAAAACGCCAUUGCUUCAAUAAUGGGAAAUACAAGUGCUUUUCAAAGGAUGUACUACAUAAGAAGUGUUCUUUUUAUUUUAUUUUUAAAAAAUUCUAACAGUUGACUUUUAAUAUCCGAUGUUUGAAUUUGUAGUUAGGGAUUUCUUUAUGUUAGGCCAAUACAUUGCUGUAGCAGAAAAGAAAAGAGAGAGCUUAGGUUUAUUAAAAGAGCAAUCAAAUGUCUUGGGGAUGUUGUUCUGUGUUGUGUUGGUUGUAUGGAGAAAGAGGAUGCUGUAAAUUUGAAAGGGGUAUGCUGCAUCUUAAAGACAUUUGCCUUUGCAGAGCCUGAGGAACUGGCCAUGCAUACUGAGAGUCCCUUGCAAAUCUGGCUCUGAGCUCACCCUCCACAAUGUUCAUGUUGAUUUAUCCAAUCCACCAUUCCUGUGCACUACAUGACACCCUGAGCACUCGCUUUUCUGCACCCCAUCCAUCAAACUCAGUUUCCUGAGGGAUUUAGGAUAAAGUCUGUUCCAGCCAGCUGCUCAUCCUGGUUCUAGGAUGGAGAUUCUGGCCUGAGUCCCGCUCCUGCUGCCUUUCAUAGACUAGAAAAGAAAGUACAAUAGGGAGAGUACAGGGUGUGGAAGAAGAUUUUAGUUGUACCUCAGCCCAUCCAGUCCAUGAUUUUGCAUAGGAGACUAUUUAGGGUAAUAAUAGGUACCAUAACAAGCCCCAAACCCCAAAUCUAAAUGACAGUAGAUGCAGUAGACGCUGAUUUAGUGCUCAUUGAACAGUUUGCUCUUUGUGCUCCUUGUUACUGAGCGGCCUCCUUUGUUGUGUGAUUCAGGGACUGAGGCUCUGUCCAGUUUUGGAGCUCCAUCCUUUCCUAUCCCCUGCACCCCAGUCCUCUUCAUUCAGCCUGCAUAUGAGUAAAUGAAGGGAAGAAACGGCAUGAUCACAUUUUAACCAACUCAACCUAGAGGUGAUGCCACAUUCCAUCAGCAAGAGCACAUCACAGGGCCCCACUGAGAUGGCAGAUUAAACUCAAAAUGUUGUCUUUGGUCACUUACUUUUAAGCAAUAACCUACUAUUGAAGAGAUAGCAGCAAUCUUUGGUGGGUGUUUAAAUGUCUCUAAGCCUCCAUUUCCUUUUCUUUGUUUUUUUUUUUUUUUUUGAGGUGGAGUCCAGGCUGGAGUGCAAUGGCAUGAUCUUAGCUUACUGCAACCUCCACCUCCCAGAUUCAAGUGAGUCUCCUGCCUUAGCCUCCUUAGUAGCUGGGAUUACAGGUGCCUGCCACCACACCUAGCUAAUUUUUGUAUUUUCAGUAGAGAUGGGAUAUUGCCAUGUUGAUCGGGCUGGCUUCUAACUCCUGGUGAUCCACCCACCUCGGCCUCCCAAACUGCUGGGAUUGCAAGCAUGAUCCACUGCACCCAGCCUAAGCCUGCAUUUUCUUACCUGAGAAAUAUGAAAUACAUUCUCCAAGGUCACACAGUUGGUAAAUGAUGAGGCUAAGAAUAAAAGCAAUAAAAGAGUAAAAGCUCCCAUUCCACUUAGUUCCUGUGGUACCUCAAAACACCGUCAAAACUUUGGAAGAACGGAUUAAAAGGUCAGUGCUUUUAAAGUCAGUAAAAUAGUACUUCUCUCUGUGUGUUUCUCUUUCUCUCCUUUUCCUUUUUGAAAACUCUCUGGGAAGAACAGUCCUGGAACUUAAAAUUUUCUGGGACAGUAUGAGCAUUGCAGCGUGCACUGUCCCCAGCAUCUCCAGCGCUGACUCCCUCUCCCCUGGAUUGCCUGCCAGUCACUCUGUCUGUCCUUCCCACUGGGUCACAUGAUCCUGUCCACUCACUGGCUACUGUGGAAAAGUCUGCCGUGUAAGGCGGCUGCUGAUUAGUGGGGAGAUGAUUGAAGCUCCCUCGUGGGGCAGACAGACAGAUCUGAGGGUAGUGAAAAUAUCUGAGUUGGUGUGAAUUAAGAAUUGUUGGCCGGAAACAGGGUUUCCUGCCUUGUAAUCCCAGCAGUUUGGGAGGCUGAGGUGGGCUGAUCAGGACGCCAGGAGUUCGAGACCAGCCUAAGAUGGUGAAACUCCAUCUGUACUAAAAAUACAAAAAUUAGCCAGGGAGUGGUGGCACACACCUGUAGUCCCAUCUACUCAGGAGACUGAGGCAAGAGAAUUGCUCGAACCCGGGAGGCAGAGGUUACAGUGAGCCGAGAUCACAGUGAGCCGAGAUCAUGCCACUGUUGCACUCCAAUCUGGGCAACAGAGCGAGACCCUGUCUUAAAAAAAAAAAAAAAAAAGAUUUGUCUCAAUAGCACUUUCCCAGCUUCAAAAGAAUAAUACGUUAGAAAUUAUGAGAUGCUGAACAUUUUACACCAUCUCUUUCAUUUAAUCCUCAAAAUCACCUACUGAAUUAGGUACUACGACUAUUCUUAGCUUUGCAGAUGGGAACCUGGAGAUCGGGGAGGGUAAGGAAUAUGCCCGGUGUUGCACAGAGCAGAAAGACAAAGACAGAGCUUGAGCCUAAGUAUUGCUGGAUUGUGGGCAGUUACAAGAAUAGGGUGUGUCAUUGCCCAGAGGCCCUAACACAGGUGUUUUCACAUCCUGUGUGAUGGUUAAAGUGGAGGAAUAUGACUUCCAUCAGAGUGUCGCGAUAGCAGGGGAGGAAGGAAUAAAUCAGCCCCAGUUAGUGGGGAUUGGUUAAUAACUUCACUUCUUCCUCACUGGCCACAGUGUUGCUCCAAGAUGUCCCCUUUUGAAGUUAAACACAUUUGCCAUGGGCUGUCUUUAGUAUCUUCCCCUCAGCUCUCUGGUUCCUAUAUCUGAAGCCCGUUUGACCUCACAUAUGACUGCAAUAAGGGGAGAUUCAGAGUCAAAGUUGAAACUUCAGAAAACUUAGCUGCAAGCUUUCUUCUCAUACCGGCUUAAAGUUCUGGGACACUUAUGUCUCACUGAGUCUUCUUAGUCUUAGUGACCUCAUGAUAUGAUUUAAAUCAUUCUGGGAUGGGGUCCUGGGACAAGUGAUUUUUGGCCACCUUCACUGAUACCUUUUUCAACUGGGUCAAAACUCACUCUCCACAUUCAAAUCCCUCUGCAAGCCAUCAGUUCCUGCUCCCUACAAUCCAGAAUGUAGAGUAGGGACUGGGCCCAUUCUUUGGGAGGGAGGUGACCUUACUUCAUGCUGGUAAGAUCUGAAAUACAGCUUUGGUGUUAAAAUAGGACAGACCUCUUGAAUCUUGUCAGGGUUAGAAGUAUUUAAGCUUCUCUCAGGAAAAAAGACAUUGCCCUACUCAUCUUGCCAGAGAUCUCCAUAUUGGAAAUUUGACCCUAAGACUCAGCUAAUAAAACCAAAGGCGACUUUGCCUUUGAUUUUCUGGGCAUUGUCCUGUGCCUAUUUCUCCAUCAAGGGUUUAGCAAAGCGGUGAUUGAUCAUGAGCAAGAAUUAGAAAGUCAGCGUGUCACAGAAUGACAAACCUGAGUUCUGCAGCUGGCCAUCUAGGUACAAAUCCCCUGGUGCUACCACUCAUUAACUGUGACCUCAGUUUUCUUCAUAUGUAAAAUGUGGGUAAUUUGAGUACUUCAUAGAAUACUCAUACCUUUUGUAUGUUUUUUGGUGAGGAUUAGGUGCGUUAUUUAUGUCAAAUAUACCUGGAGGAUUUGACACACGGUAAACAGUCAACAAAUGUUAACGGAUGAUUAUUGUGGGCAUGACGUCAUUUCUGAGGUGGAUUUAGAAUUCAGAUUGGACCUGAUUCCUAGCAUGUUCACACUCAUGUGGUGUGUAACAUUUACUGGGCAAUUUCUCUGUGUCCCCAGUUCUCGUCACUUACAAAAUGAGGUUGAAUGCCACCCCCUUUGCGGCACUUUCUCCCUUUCAUGAUGCCUUUGAGUUUGUUCUUCAUUAUCUUACCUCCUGGCUAAACUGUGCCUUCAGGAUAUCCCGAGACUGACCCUGUAAACAACAACAACCACAACAAAAAACAGGAAAACAGGACAAAACACCCCGUGCCUUCACGAAAUACUGAGCUGACACCAGAGUGGGAACCUCCCAACUUCCUCUCCCAGUCUCCUUUAUGUCAGAGGUGUGUGAACCACCCACAGCAACUCCAUCUUGAAUAGGAGCUGGGUAAAAUGAGGCUGAGACCUACUGGGCAGCAUUCCCAGGCAGUUAAGGCAUUCUAAGUCACAGGAUGAGAUACGAGAUUGGCAUAAGAUACAGGUAAUAAAGACCUUGCUGAUAAAACAAGCUACAGUAAAGAAGCCACCUCUAACCCACUGAAACCAGGACUGCAAUGACAGUGGCCUCUGGCUGUCCUCACUGCUACACUCCCAUCAGUGCCAUUGCAGUUUACGAAUGCCAUGGCAACAUCAGGAAGUUACCCUAUAUGGUCUAAAAAGGGGAGGUAUAAAUAAUCCACUCGUUGUUCAGCAUGUAUUGCAGAAAAAACCGUAAAAAUAGGCAACCACCUAUCCUUGGGGCUGCUCUGUCUAUGGAGUAACCAUUCUUUCAUUCCUUUACUUUCCUAAUAAACUUGCUUUCAUUUCAUGCACUUGCCUUGAAUUCUUUCUUGUGUGAGAUUCAGGAACUGUUUCUGCGGGGUGUUGGGGAUCCCCUUCCUGUACCACAUGCUGGCCUCUGCCUGUACGCCCUGCAAAACACCUUGCAGGUAGUGGUGAGAAUUUCCGGAUUUAUUUUGGGGGCAUCCGAAGCUAACACUAUGUGAGCAUAGUGUUGAUGGCAAAGACAGGUAAGAUAACCUUCAUGGGUGGUAGGAAGAGGUAAGAUGUUUAGAAAUACGAGUGGGAGGGAGAGUAUGAAGAUGGAGAGAAGAAAGAGCUGUUGGAUGCUGGCAUCCAGUAGAAAUAGCUAGAGCCCUCUUGUUUCCAAGAUCAGCCAUGCAUUGCCAUGCAUCUUCUGCGGAGAUAAUGGGUGAUGUCACAACAGGCCUUCUGGGAAACCUGAGUACUGCUGGUGAAGGCAGCCAGCCUGCCUUCCUUAUGAGAAGAGAGCUCUGGGCUCCAGCAGCUGAGGCAUCCUGGAGUCCAUGGGAUGGCUCAUAAGGAUUUACCAAAGGCUGGGUCCACCAUUCCCUCCUACUUCCUGGCACCGAGUAUUUCCUCGUACUUGAUAGAAGACGCCAGGUGGCUUCUAGCUGAAGGGUCACCCUCUCUCUACCUCCCUGCCUCUUGGUUGCUGAAGUGAGAGAAUGCUCUACCUCCUUAACAUCUUUCUUCUGCUCCAAGCUCCUGGGGUGGACAUUUCUCAGAAUGUUGGUUGGACAACAUCAUGGCCGGAAACCGUGGUCUCUGGAAAGAAGUGUCCUAUGAGGAGUCUCUUGGCUUCACUACAUCUGGGUGAGAAAUCCCUGGGUUAAUAGUAGAUUUGCCACCAGAGGUCAAGUUCAAGACAAAUGAUGGCUGCUGCUGCUGCUGCUUCCACAAAAGACAAGAAUCCUUUGCAUCCUUUGCUCCUCACUCACUAGCAGGGUGGCCUUGUGGAGUUUAUGUAACGGUUUCUGCCUCAGUUCCCACAUCUGUACAAUGGGGAAUAUAAAAUUGCCUACAUCAAAAAUGAAUGUGAGGAUUAAAUGAGAAAAAUGCCUUUAGUUUUAGAACAUCGCAUGGCUCAUAGCAAGUGUGUACACACACACACACACACACACACACACAAUCAUUGCUGUUAGACUGUUUCUCUUUUUUUGACCCAACAAAUGAAACUAGAAAAAUCUUUCACAUACCUGUGAUAUUUGAGAGGGAGCUUCCAGGUAGAUUCGUGAUUUCUGGUACCCUAUUAUAAUUCUUCCCUUUCUCUCCCACCCCAAAGCAGCCGCCUCCUAGGCCUUCCCUGCCACAUUGCUCCCUCAUUGUGCAGAAUGUAGGGGAAGGCGAGAUCGCCUCCAAUCCUCCUUAGCUCUUAUGUUAGUUCUUCAGCUGGGUCUAGGAACCAAGUUGAUACCAGACAGAUUAACAAGAGAAAAAAGAAAGCAGAUGAUACUGCUUCAGGGGGUGCAAGUCCCAAGCCUCUGUAGCUUCCACAUGGUGUUGGGUCUGAGGGUGUGCAGAAGGCUAGAGUUGAGGCUUGGAAGCCUCUGUGUAGAUUUCAAAGAAUGUAUGGAAGCACUUGGAUGCCAGCAGAAGUCUGCUGCAGGCAGAUUAGCAAGUUUAUUAUGUUUACAUGUAGCUGGGGCACUUCAUAAGAGAGUGACAUCCAACAAAAUGGCCACACAAGAUGCUUUUAUACAUUUUAGACAAAGAACAAAUUUGUGAAGAAAUGUCAGGACAAAGGGGAUCUGGCUAGGAGCAGUAAGUUCUAGGGGAGCCACUAGGAGACAUAAAAGGGUGGAAAACAAGCGUUAAUUUGGGAAGUUGAUUCCAGCCCGAACUCCCAGUCUUCUGAUGAUGAGGGCUAUUUUCUCACCCUGGUAUAGGGGAGGUACCCUCCCGGAGUAAUAUUUAUGGCUUGCUACAUGUAGAAAAGGACAGAUCAGCUCUCCUUUUCUGAAACUAUAAUUUCUCCAAUGUUUUCAGCUUAAAAUAAUCAAUACACUGAUUCAGCAUAUUUUGGGAUGGCACAUCUGUGCCUUCUUAAUGAUCACUUCCUCCUCUCUGCACUCCUUCCCGAUGCAGUUACUAAGCAAACAGUUGAGCGAUCAUCUGAUUAAUAUAGAACAACAUCAGGGUCCACUUAGACUUUCUUUGGACCUGAAUCCCCAUUUCCUGGCACAGCAUGGCUGCUGAAGAGAGUUAAAUAUGUCACUAUUGGAUGUAAGUGAGCGUAAUACUACUCUAAGACUUGUGAUACGGUUUGGCUCUGUGUCCCCACCCAAAUCUCAUGUCGAAUCAUAAUCUCCAGUGUUGGGAGAGGAACCUGGUGGGAGGUGAUUGGAUAAUGGGGGAAGAUUUUCUCUUUGCUUUUCUUGUUAUAGUGAGUGCAUUCUCAUGACAUCUGGUUGUUUAAAAAUGUGUACCACUGGCUGGGCAUGGUGGCUUACACCUGUAAUCCCAGCGCUUUGGGAGGCCAAGACAGGUGGUUCACAAGGUCAGGAGUUCAAAACCAGCCUGGCCAAGAUGGUAAAACCCUGUCUCUACUAAAACUACAAAAAUUAGCCAGGUGUGGUGACAGGUGCCGGUAAUCCCAGCUACUCAGGAGGCUGAGGAAGAGAAUUGCUUGUACCCGGGAAGCAAAGUUUGCAGCGAGCCGAGAUUGUGCUACUGCACUCCAGCCUGGGUGACGGAGCGAGACUCCAUCUCAAAAAGAAGAAAAAAAAAUUGUGUAGCACUUCCCUUCUGCUCUCUCCUGCUCUGUCAUGGGUGGCGGCUUCUUUGCCUUUUGCUGUGAUUGUCAGUUUCCUGAGGCCUGUGAUUGUCAGUUUCCAGCCAUGCUUUCUGUACUUCCUGUAGAGCUGUGAGACAAUUAAACCUCUUUUCUUCAUAAAUUGCCCAGUCUCAGAUAGUUCUGUAUAGCAGUGUGAGAAUGAACUAGUACAGAAAACUGAUACCAGAGAAGUGGGGUAUUGCUAUAAAGAUACUUGAAUAUGUGGAAGCGACUUCAGAACUCGGUAAUGGGCAGAGCUUGGAACAGUUUAGAGGAAUCAGAAGGUAGGAAGAUAAGGGAAGGUUUGGAACUUCAUAGAGACUUGUUGAAUGGUUGUGAUCAAAAGGCUGAUAGUGACAUGGACAGUGAAGUCUAGGCUGAGGAGGUCUCAGAGGAGAUGAGGAAGGUAUUGGGAACUGAAGCAAAGUUCACUCUUGCUACGCUUUAGCAAAGAGAUUGGCAGGAUUUUGCCCCUGCCCUAGAGAUUUGUGGAACUUUGACCUUGAGAGAGAUGAUUUACAGUUAUCUGGCAGAAGAAACUUCUAAGCAGCAAAGCAUUCAAGAGGUGGCCCGGCUACUUCUAAAAGCUUACACUCACUUGCAUAAACAAAGAAAUGACCUACAACUAGAAUUUAUGUUUAAAAGAGAAGGAGAAGAUAAAAGUUUGGAAAAUUUGCAGCCUGCCUAUGCAGCAGAAAAGAAAGACCCAUUUUCUAGGGAGAAAGGCUGCAGAAAUCUGCACAAGUGAAGAGCUGAAUGUUAAUAGCUAAGACGAGGAGGAAUAUACCUCCAGGGCAUUUGCAAGACCUUCAUGGCAGCCCCUCCCAUCACAGGCCUAGAGUCCUAGGAGUCAAAAGGACCUACUGCUCUUUGCAGCUUUGGGACAUGGCGCAUGGUGUCCCAGCCACUUGAGCUCUAGCUGCAGCUAAAAGGGGCCAAUGUACAGCUCAGGCCAUUGCUUCAGGGGGUGCAAGCCCCAAGCCUUGGUGGCUUCCACGUGGUGUUGGGUCUGUGGGUGUGCAGAAGGCUAGAGUUGAGGCUUAUAAGCCUCUGCCUAUAAGCCUUCCAUAUAUUUCAAAGAAUGUAUGGAAACACUUGGAUGCCCAGCAGAAGUCUGCUGCAGGGGUAGAGCCUUCAUGGAGAACCUCUACUAAGACAGUGCAGAGGGGAAAUGUGGGGUUGGAGCCCUCACAUAGAGUCCCCACUGGGGCACUGCUUAGUGGAGCUGUGAGAAGAGGGCCACCAUCCUCCAGACUCCAGAAUGAUAGAUCCACCAACAGCUUGCACCAUGCACCUGAAAAAGCUAUAGGCACUCAAUGCCUGCCUGUGAAAGCAGCCUUGGGGGCUACCCUGCAGAGCUACAGGGGUGGAGCUGCCCGAUGCCUUGGGAACCCAUCCCUUUCAUCAGUGAGGCCUGAAAGUGAAAAAUGGAGUCAAGGGAUAUUAUUUUGGAGCCUUAAGAUAAGUGCCCUGUGGGUUUUAGACUUGCACGGGGCCUGUAGGCUGGCUGUUUGGCCAAAUUCUCCCUUUUGGAAUGGAGGCAUUUACUCAAUGCCUGUACCCCCAUUGAUUUUUGGGAGUACCUAGCUUGUUUUUGAUUGUUCGGGCUUGCCUUGUCUCAGAUGAGACUUCAGCUUGAACGUUUGCGUUAAUGCUGAAUUAAGGCAUGAUUGUGUUUUGAAAUGUGAGAAGGACAUGAUUCUUGGGAGGGGCCAGGGAUGGAAUAAUAUGGUUUGUCUCUAUGUCCUCACACAAAUAUUAUGUUGAGUUGUAAUCCCCAGUGUUAGUGGAGGGACCUGGUGGGAGGUGGUUGGAGCAUGGGAACAGAUUUCCCCCUUGCAGUUCUCAUGAUAGUGAGUGAGUUCUUAUGAGAUACGGUUGUUUAAAAGUAUGUAGCAACAUCCCCUUCUCUCUCUCCCUUCUGCUCCCACUGAGAGAUGUGAUACUUUGCUUCACAGCUCCACAAAGCAGUGCCCCAGUGGGGACUCUAUGUGAGGGCUCCAACUCUGUAUUUCCUCUUUGCCUUCUGCCAUGAUUGUAAGUCUCCUGACGCCUCCCCAGUCACAACUCCUGAAUAGCCUGCAGAACUGUGAGUCAAUUAAACCUCUUUCCUUUAUAAAUGAUCCAGUUUUAGGUAGUUCUUUAUAGCAGUGAGGGAACAGAUGACUACAACUUGAAUCUUAUUUCUACUGGAAAAGGCAGUCAUUUGGACACUUUGGUUCUUUAAUUAUUGGGAGCUAACUAACUUUGUAACAUGCCUCAGUGUCUAUGUUUAGGGAUCUAUGCUCUACUCUGCAUUUUCUCCUAUUUAAGUAAUGAACGCUGGAUAGAGACCUUCCCAACUCUAGAAAGAGAAACUAAGUCAUCUCUUUUGGACAACAGACAGGUGACAGGAGUUGUCAAGGAGCUACACGCUCUCCCUCCGAUCAGAGAGUAAAAGAUGGCUCACGGAGCAAACAUCGUCUGGCUCCCUGCGUCUGGCUCCCUGCUUUCUGUUUCAGACCCAGAGGACUCUGUGCGAGGGCUUUCUCAUUACUCUUGAUACAGACGUUCUUGUCCCUCUGUUAACGGGAAGCUGGAGGUAAUUACCAGCAGAAGUGAAGCUCUGUGAGGCACAUUAGGCCGGUAAACACUUCCCUCAACCACAGAGUGUGCCUCUAAUUAGGCAGUUGCUGAUGAAAGGAGUUCAGAAUCUAGUUUAAGGGCUUGCUUAGGCCAGAAGCAUCUUCCAGCUGUUAAGCGGUCUGAAAUGGCGUGGGAGGAGGGGCAAAGGGGAUGGGAAUGGAAAAAGGUGGAGAGGGCAGAUGAAGGGUUAGAAGAGAGGAAAUGAGGAGAAAUGGAAGAAAAGGAAGCAGAAUUCUAUUUUCUUUCUAUAUCAGUUACAAUAGCACCGGACUUCAUUUUGAUAGGCUGGAACAUCAGUUCUUAGAGUAAUAACUGAAAAAACUAUUUGUCAUUGUCUAGUAUAGAUAAAUGCCUGCCUAAUCUGUAACCCGGGAAAUCUCCAAGGUUUAUAUCUAAGAGAAAUAAAUAUAUAUGCCCAUCAAAGUUCACAUACAAAAAUAGUUAAUGGCAGAACUAUUCAUACUAGACCCAUCAUGGAAACAACCCUAAAGUCUAUCAACCAGGGAAUAAAGAGAGCCAUUGCAGUGUUCCCUACGUGAGGCACCACACAGCACUUUUUAAAAGAAACCAGCAAAGCCACUGCUGCUGAUGAACAUCACGUGGUGUGUUGAGCCAAAGAAGACGGACACAGAAAAGGUACAUUCUGUGCAAUUUCUUUUUUAUCAAAUCCAAGAACAGGAAGGAUGAAUCUAUGGAGACAGAUCAGAAUACUGAUUAUUUCUUAUGAGGAGAAUAUUAACUAAGAAGCUAAUAUCCUAGGAAGGAGAAUAGAAGCUUCUGGGAUACUUUAAAUGAUGGUACCUUGAUCUGAGUGUGACUACAUGGAUGUAAAAACUACAUAAAACAUAAAGUAUUCUACAAAAAUGUAAAAGUUGAACAUUUGAAUGUUUUACUAUAUGUAAGUUAAAACUCAAAACAACAUUAAGAAAAGGAAAAAUACAUCUUUACUAAAAUAAUAGGUAAAAAAUACUCUUUUUUUUUUUUUUUUUUUUUGAGACAGAGUUUCGCUCUCGUUACCCAGGCUGGAGUGCAAUGGCGUGAUCUCGGCUCACCACCGCCUCCUGGAUUCAGGCAGUUCUCCUGCCUCAGCCUCCUGAGUAGCUGGGAUUACAGGCACACGCCACCAUAGUACAACCUUUCAUUUGUUUAAAUAAGAAAAUCUUUCACAUAUUCAUCUGUCUUAGGCAUUUUUUUGUGGAAUUGCCUGUGCAUAUUCCAACCCAGGCUCCAGUUGGAAUCUUUGUUCAUAUCUCGCUGACUCAGGGAGCCUUGUUAAAUGUUCCUGAAUCCUCCAGUUGUUUGUUGCAAAUCUUUCCCUCCAGUUCAUCUUUGAUUAUUUUGAUGAUUUUUAUGUAGAAAGGGUUUAAAGUUUUAGGUGAUCAAAUCUAUCUUUUUUUUAAAUUGUCUCAGCUAGCUCUUUCAUUACCCAAUGAAAGAACUAGCUUUCUUCCAUCCCAUUUUCUUUCCAAGCUUCUUGCUUUUGAGAAACUGAUGGAAGGCAAUGUAGUUGGAGCAGCAGAGCUGUGGCGAGGAAACAGGGCGGGAGGAAUGAGGCAGCACAGGUGUUGCUUUUGGGGAUAAAUCGUGAGUGCACAGAAUGGUCAGGAAGGGAGGUAAAUGGAAAUAAUACAGAGAGUUAUGGGUUGUGAGUGGCACAUGGGCUGCUGGGAGGAGAAAGCAUGGGAGGGAUGCAAACCAGAAAAUCUAUGGAGAGGAUUGCAGUGGUGCUGGGGAGGUGGGGAAGCUUAGAGAUGGGCUUUGGUGCUCUGUCACCCGUGGGUGAAGUGAGCAUGGCCAGGACUAGUGAGGUGGCAGCAGAGAUGGAGAGGUGGGAAAGGUCAGAGAUGGGCUUCUGCAGAAUCCCAGGUGGUCCAUGGGGGCAUAACUGGGACUUAGGAGGUGGUAGCAGAGAUGGAGAAGUGGGUGGGGAGUGCUAGAGAUAGGAUUCAGCACCAGGUCCCAAAUGGGCAAGUGGAGAGCAUUUUAAGCUGGCGAGGUGAAAGCAGAGUUGGAGGUGGGGUAGGUUGCCAAUGAUCUUCAGCACUGGGUCCCAUUGGACUUGGCAAUGGAGGGACCUGGGGAGACAUCGUGGCUGAUCUGAGAUGGCUGGGCCCUUACCCAUAUGGCAGCUGCUAGAUUUCUGGGUUUGUGUAUUUGCUGUUUGUUUUUGGUUUUAACUCUUUAUCAGUCCAGAAUUAGCUUUUAGAAAUUCAGUUGAGACUGCAAUUUUAUUCCCUUCACCAAGUGGUAGAAAUUCACUACUGAAUGUCUCCAUUAAAAUAUACUUAAUAACAAUUAUUGCUCCCUCAUUAUUUUGUGAGGCUUUCCGUGUGGGUUGGUUAUGAACCAGUGCUGAAGCCCACCUCUAACCUUCCCCUCUCUAAGCCUCACUUCUUUAUCUCUGCUACCACCUUCUCAGCUGUCAUCUCACCAUGACUCACCUCUACUGACCUUUAUUCUUUUGCUUCUAUCACACAAUUUUGAUGUUCUAUGUUUUGAUCUAUAAAUCUUUUUGUAGGAAAAUUAUCUCCUGAACCCUCGUUUUAAAAAGUUCUCAGGGCUGGGCACGGUGGCUCAUGCCUGUAAUCCCAGCACUUUGGGAGGCUGAGGCAGGCUGAUCACGAAGUCAGGAGAUUGAGACUAUCCUGGCUAACAAGGUGAAACCCAUCUCUACCAAAAAGCAGAAAAUUAGCCUAGUGUGGUGGUGAGUACCUGUAGUCCUAGCUACUCAGGAGGCUGAGGGAGGAGAAUCUCUCGAACCCAGGAGGUGAAGGUUGCUGUGAGCUGAGAUUGCACCACUGAACUCCAGCCUGGGUGACAAAGCAAGACUCCAUCUCAAAAAAAAAAAAAGUUCUCAGCUGUUUUCUCAUGACUAUUUUGUUUAUAUUAUUAUUGCUUUUUCACUCAGGUGAACUUAAAA